GAGUUUGAUCGUGGCUCAGGAUGAACGCUGGCGGCGUGCCUAACACAUGCAAGUCGAACGGAGUUUAUGAGGAAGAAGCUUCGGCGGAAUUCUUAUAAACUUAGUGGCGGACGGGUGAGUAACACGUGGAGAACCUGCCUCUUACCGGGGGACAGCAGUUGGAAACGACUGAUAAUACCGCAUAAGCGCACGAGACCGCAUGGUCCUGUGUGAAAAGAUUUAUCGGUAAGAGAUGGCUCCGCGUCUGAUUAGCCAGUUGGCGGGGUAACGGGCCCACCAAAGCGACGAUCAGUAGCCGGCCUGAGAGGGUGAACGGCCACAUUGGGACUGAGACACGGCCCAGACUCCUACGGGAGGGCAGCAGUGGGGGAGUAUUGCACAAUGGAGGAAACUCUGAUGCAGCGACGCCGCGUGAGUGAAGAAGUA
rnacentral:rRNA from 1 species